rnacentral:lncRNA from 1 species
UUUUAAAAUAUUUAGGAAGAAAAUAAGAGUUCUGAAAGCAUUUUAAAUUUAAAUUUAAUUUUAAAUUUUUAGCUUUUGUUAAUGCUAUUCAAAAUUGGAAUGGAAAGCUUUGAAAUAAAAUAUUGAUAAGAGUGGCAUAAUCUAUUUAAAACAUGAAAUAGCUAAUGAUGUAAUUAGAUUAUAGCAUUCAGUCAGCACGUUCACCUUACUUGUUCUUAUUUCUCAGAGAGAUCCUCAUUUUAAGAAGUGAAUUUAAAAUAACACUAUAUCACAGCCAUUAUAAUGAGAAGAUAAUCCUGUAAUCCAUGUUGCCUUUGGCUAAACCAUGUUGCCUUUGGCUAAAUUAGCUUUGUCAUUUAAGGGGAAAUAGCUUGAUUGAGGCCAUAUGAAACAGGUGCAUAUUGUCCUGUCCUUUGUCAGGGGAAAGGAAGUGUGCUGUCUUCUCUCUCCUCCCUGACUUCUUUCUCUAUUCCCUGAAUUUUCUUGUUUUCUCCUUAAUUAUAUUAAUGCAGUAUCUUGUUGUUUUAAAGAACUAAAUUCUUUGCAUUUUCAAAGGAAAAGAAAUGGGCUACCAUAUGGAUUUUUUUGUUUAAAAAUGGUUUUAGUUUCUUAUUGAUUUUAUAUAUGUAUGUGUAUCAUCAAAUGAUAUAAGAAAUUUUAUUUAAAUAUAUAAAAGUUAAACAUUUUAAUGCCACUUAAUAUACACAUAGUUGGAAGAUCUUUGUCUGUUUGUAUCAUCUGACUCUAAAUAAAGAUAAGCCAGUUAAAUUUUCUAAAAGGCCUCAGAAUGAUGUCUGUGAUUUUCUAGGUUUUUUUUUUUUUUCCAGUCUUGAGCUCAGUACACAAACUCAUCUAUUCAUAUAAUGGGUUAAUAUGAAGUAACAUGAAUCAACUAUAAAAAUAAGCAGUGUUUCUGUGUAGAAACUAUACAUUAAGAGCCCCAUUAUUUUAGAAGAAAAAGCUAACAAUAUGUCUCUACACUCUGGAAGCAUUUUAUAGUGAAAUGAAAAAAACAGCCUCACAUAAUUUUAAGGAGGAAGUACACAUUUAAAAAAAUUAGUCUUUUUAAGCUGAGUGUGGUGUUGCAUACCUUUAAUCCUGGCACUUGGGAGGCAGAGGCAAGUGGAUUUCAGUGAGUUCAAAGCCAGCCUGACCUACAUAGAGAGUUCCAAGACAGCCAGGAUUACAUAUAUAGUGAGACCCUCUCUCAAAAAACCAAAAAUGUGUACUCACUUCGGCAGCACAUGUACAAAAAUUGGAACAAUACAGAGAAGAUUACCAUGGCCCCUGUGCAAGGAUGACACACAAAUUCACAAAGAAUUCCAAAUUUUAUAUGUAUAUUAAAAAUAAAAGUCUUCUACAACGAGACUUAAAUGUGCACUCCAGUGAUGCUUUCCUCCCCUUUCCCCUGAAAACUCAGAAAUAAAAUAAUGACUAAAUCUAGCAAGAAAGUUUCUAAAAAUAGUUAUGAAAAUGGCAAGCUUACAAAAUGAUUAUUUUAGGAAGGUAUGAUUUUAGUUGUUGGGUGUCUAAUGUAACUGUCUAGACUUAUAAUUAACCACCUACUCCCUUUUCUCAUGAUUCCAAAAUGAUAGAUGUUAGUAGCCAUUUUGUUGUAUUGUCUUUUAGGGAGUAGCAUGGGGAGUGGGAGGGGGGGUAGAAGAACGCAGCUCUGAUUACGGAGUCUGGAACCUUACCUUCAACCAACCGUUCUUGCUCAUCUUUACUGUAAUAGGGGAGUGCGGGAGUCAGGUGUCAGUGGGCCAGGGAGCCUCACAGCUCUGACUGACCAGCAGCCAGGUGCUUCUUUAUUUUUACAGGGUUCACAGGUCAAAGACAGACUGAUGAUUACAGAUUGUGUUUGGUUUGUUUAUUGUAUGUCCAAGGUUACAAGUUCGGUCCCAAUUAAAAAAAUAUAUAGACAGAACAGAUUUUAUUUUUAUUAUGAGCCCUAUAACUCCAAUUUAAAGAAUCUAAAUCCUUUAAAGCAAACACACUUAUUAUCCGACAUCCUGAAAACACUCUAGACAAACAGAAAAUAUCUGAACUGGUCUUUUUAUGAUAGCAAAUACUAAUACCUAACUUCUUUUACUAUGUUUCUAUAUUACUAUAUGUUUUACUAUAUGUAUGUUUCAUCAUCUAUAUAUAAAGUAGGAAAAGUUUAUUUUAGUCAAUCUAUCUUAUUUAGUGGGUUUUAUUUCCUCAAGAGUAUAACCCUGUAUGACACUCCCCCAUCUUUAAACUACAUUUUCAGAGAGUUCUAAGCUAUAAUAAAACGAGACCUUGAAUCUGUAACCUGUUCUCCUGGCCAGUCAGAGUCUGUCAGUUCUGUUUACCCUGCACCAAUUAUACUGUUUGAGUUUGCUCAGGGGCGGAUACCCCAAGAAGAUUCCUUAAGUAGUAGCCUCAUCUAGUUAUGUGCUUAUCUGUGCUUAAUGAUCUCCAGGGCAUAAGGAAAACUUCCACAUAGUGGCCAGAUAAAAUUAAUUUUAGGAUUUUACUAAAAGGACUCAGAUGUAAUUUUCCUUAGGAAAAAACAUAAAAUGAAUCACAAUGCAGAAUGUAUCCAGGAAUGCAGCAUGCAGAGACCAAAACCCAAAAUUUAGAGAAUGAAGGACAGCCACUGCAGUCUUCUGCUCAGCUUUGCUGAAACUGUGCCAAGCAGCUGUGCUGGCUUCAUGACUCUCGCUAUUUCCUGUGGAUGUGGAUGUGCAAUAUAUAUUU